GACGAACGCUGGCGGCGUGCUUAACACAUGCAAGUCGAACGGUGAAGCGCCUUCCUUUUUGGUGGGUGUGGAUGAGUGGCGAACGGGUGAGUAACACGUGAGUAACCUGCCCCCUUCUUCUGGAUAACCGCAUGAAAGUGUGGCUAAUACGGGAUAUUCUGGGUCUGUCGCAUGAUGGGUCUGGGAAAGAUAUUGUUUCGGUGGGGGAUGGGCUCGCGGCCUAUCAGCUUGUUGGUGGGGUGAUGGCCUACCAAGGCGGUGACGGGUAGCCGGCCUGAGAGGGUGGACGGUCACACUGGGACUGAGACACGACCCAGACUCCUACGGGAGGCAGCAGUGGGGAAUAUUGCACAAUGGGCGCAAGCCUGAUGCAGCGACGCCGCGUGAGGGAUGGAGGCCUUCGGGUUGUGAACCUCUUUCGCCAGUGAAGCAGGCCUGCCUCGUUUGUGGGUGGGUUGACGGUAGCUGGAUAAGAAGCGCCGGCUAACUACGUG
rnacentral:rRNA from 1 species